rnacentral:rRNA from 1 species
GUGUCAAGUCGAGCGGAUGAGGGGUGCUUGCACUCUGAUUUAGCGGCGGACGGGUGAGUAAUGCCUAGGAAUCUGCCUGGUAGUGGGGGAUAACGUUCCGAAAGGAACGCUAAUACCGCAUACGUCCUACGGGAGAAAGCGGGGGAUCUUCGGACCUCGCGCUAUCAGAUGAGCCUAGGUCGGAUUAGCUAGUUGGUGAGGUAAUGGCUCACCAAGGCGACGAUCCGUAACUGGUCUGAGAGGAUGAUCAGUCACACUGGAACUGAGACACGGUCCAGACUCCUACGGGAGGCAGCAGUGGGGAAUAUUGGACAAUGGGCGAAAGCCUGAUCCAGCCAUGCCGCGUGUGUGAAGAAGGUCUUCGGAUUGUAAAGCACUUUAAGUUGGGAGGAAGGGUAUUCACCUAAUACGUGAGUAUUUUGAUGUUACCGACAGAAUAAGCACCGGCUAACUUCGUGCCAGCAGCCGCGGUAAUACGAAGGGUGCAAGCGUUAAUCGGAAUUACUGGGCGUAAAGCGCGCGUAGGUGGUUCGUUAAGUUGGAUGUGAAAGCCCCGGGCUCAACCUGGGAACUGCAUCCAAAACUGACGAGCUAGAGUACGGUAGAGGGUGGUGGAAUUUCCUGUGUAGCCGGUGAAAUGCGUAAAUAUAGGAAGGAGCACCACUGGCGAAGGCGACCAUCUGGACUGG